AAAGUGUCUCACAAAGAGGGGAGUCUGGGAGGGAGGAGAGGAAGGGGUGACAAUCACUGCUCUGCUGUGGACCUGAAUGCCUGCACCUGCACAAACCCUCUUGUUUUUUGUGAUUGGCCAUUAGCAAGAAACAGAAAUAAGAUGAAGAGUCUCCUCACUUCUGUGAGAAGCAUAGAUUACUGUACACUUUGGAAAGGAGAUGACCAUGAUGAUAAGAAGUCUGUUCACUUUUUAAUCCCCUAAUGACUGAACGGGACAGUGGUAAGAGUGGGUGCAGGAUAGGAGACACGGCUCUGUGUCCUGGGUUUCUGCUGUGUAACCUUUGGAAGGUCACUUGAAAACCUGCAGGACCUGCUUUUUCCUCUGCAACAUGAGGAAGUGAAGUUAACCAAACAGACAGUGAAUACAAAUCAAUAGAUCUAUUUAUACC